AAAAAAUAAACAAAGUCUGAAAGAUUAAGACUUUAUUAUCACUUGGAAUCAAAGUAAAUAAUUGACAUCUUAAACAUCAGUUGUAUCAGAUGUAAGGCACUUAGAUACUCUGUGAUUUAAGAUAAAGGCAAGAUAAUGAUUAUAAUUUUUAAACCUGUAGUAAAUUUCUCCCUUAGGCCUACUAUUUAAGAAGUUUGUUUUAAUUAUGUCACAGAAAUCCCAAAAUUGUG